UGUUUUAUUUCAAUCAAAUAAUGUUUUACAAUUCUAACAUUUCACAGGAUAAAUUAUUUUAUAAAUAUAUCGUACAUUUGAGUUAUGCUCGAUUGGUCACAUUGAUUAAUAUAACUAAUUGAUGAUAAAUAAUCUCUACGUCCAGCAUCAAGGAUCUGGUGAACCUAAAAAGUGCUACACAGGAAUGUAGUAUUUUCAGAAAAUGUCCAUAAUAUAGCUGGCGCUAAUAGGAGCGUUUCACCAGUGUUACUUAUCACAGCCAAUCACAACAAUGGUGGAUAUUGGCCUAUUGAUUUCUCCCUCCGGAGCUCCAUCCGUUAUUCUGUUCAGACUCCGGCUGUCAUCUAAUAGAAAUCCUUCUCUUUUCCUCGUUGCUAUUUGCUAUUUUCCUCGUUGCUGUUUGAAGCUGGUGUACCAAAACUUUUUUUUUUUUUAAAGGCUCAACACGGUCAUUCCACUAUUACGCCAGGUAUAUUAUAAACAUGCUCAAAUUUGACCAAACAUCCUGUAUGACACAUUUGGCAUUUCUGGUUCAAAUACAUAAAUUAGAAUGCUUUUUCACUUCUCCAUCAAAAAGUACCUGUCUAACCUGAUGAUAAAUCAACAAUAAAAACAUGGACCAGUGGUAUGGAUCUUAAAUAUAUUAGGUUACAAUGUCUCUCUUGGUUGAUUCCCAAUGACUGAAAUCUUCUUUUGAUCAUGGAGGUUUGUGUUACACUAGACUAGAGUCAUUAGACCGGCUAGGAUCAGGACUGUCUGAGGCAGGUCAUGAGACCCAGCUAGGGUCAGGACUGUCUGAGACAGGUCCUGAGACCCAGCUAGGGUCAGGACUGUCUGAGACAGGUCAUGAGACCCAGCUAGGGUCAGGACUGUCUGAGGCAGGUCAUGAGACCCAGCUAGGGUCAGGACUGUCUGAGGCAGGUCAUGAGACCCAGCUAGGGUCAGGACUGUCUGAGGCAGGUCAUGAGACCCAGCUAGGGUCAGGACUGUCUGAGACAGGUCAUGAGACCCAGCUAGGGUCAGGACUGUCUGAGGCAGGUCAUGAGACCCAGCUAGGGUCAGGACUGUCUGAGACAGGUCAUGAGACCCAGCUAGGGUCAGGACUGUCUGAGGCAGGUCAUGAGACCCAGCUAGGGUCAGGACUGUCUGAGGCAGGUCAUGAGACCCAGCUAGGGUCAGGACUGUCUGAGGCAGGUCCUGAGACCCUGAGACUUUGCACAUUUUGUUUGUCAUCCUAGCUGCACUACACCACUGAUUCAGGUAAUCAAAGCCUGAUAAAGAGUUGGAUAUUUGAAAUCAGCUGUGUAGUGCAGCUGGUGCAAAAAGCCAAAACAU